rnacentral:rRNA from 1 species
GGUUAAGCGACUAAGCGUACACGGUGGAUGCCCUGGCAGUCAGAGGCGAUGAAGGACGUGCUAAUCUGCGAAAAGCGACGGCGAGGUGAUAUGAACCUUUGACCCGUCGAUGUCCGAAUGGGGAAACCCAGUGCAAUCCGUUGCACUAUCGUUAACUGAAUACAUAGGUUAACGAGGCGAACCGGGGGAACUGAAACAUCUAAGUACCCCGAGGAAAAGAAAUCAACCGAGAUUCCCCCAGUAGCGGCGAGCGAACGGGGAGCAGCCCGGAGUCUGAAUCAGCUUGUGUGUUAGUGGAACGGUCUGGAAAGUCCGACGGUACAGGGUGAUAGUCCCGUACACGAAAACACACUUGUUGUGAACUCGAAGAGUAGGGCGGGACACGUGGUAUCCUGUCUGAAUAUGGGGGGACCAUCCUCCAAGGCUAAAUACUCCUGACUGACCGAUAGUGAACCAGUACCGUGAGGGAAAGGCGAAAAGAACCCCGGCGAGGGGAGUGAAAAAGAACCUGAAACCGUGUACGUACAAGCAGUGGGAGCCUCUUUAUGGGGUGACUGCGUACCUUUUGUAUAAUGGGUCAGCGACUUAUAUUCUGUAGCAAGGUUAACCGUAUAGGGGAGCCGAAGGGAAACCGAGUCUUAACUGGGCGUUAAGUUGCAGGGUAUAGACCCGAAACCCGGUGAUCUAGCCAUGGGCAGGUUGAAGGUUGGGUAACACUAACUGGAGGACCGAACCGACUAAUGUUGAAAAAUUAGCGGAUGACCUGUGGCUGGGGGUGAAAGGCCAAUCAAACCGGGAGAUAGCUGGUUCUCCCCGAAAGCUAUUUAGGUAGCGCCUCGUGAACUCAUCUUCGGGGGUAGAGCACUGUUUCGGCUAGGGGGCCAUCCCGGCUUACCAACCCGAUGCAAACUACGAAUACCGAAGAAUGUUAUCACGGGAGACACACGGCGGGUGCUAACGUCCGUCGUGAAGAGGGAAACAACCCAGACCGCCAGCUAAGGUCCCAAAGUCAUGGUUAAGUGGGAAACGAUGUGGGAAGGCACAGACAGCCAGGAUGUUGGCUUAGAAGCAGCCAUCAUUUAAAGAAAGCGUAAUAGCUCACUGGUCGAGUCGGCCUGCGCGGAAGAUGUAACGGGGCUAAACCAUGCACCGAAGCUGCGGCAGCGACACUAUGUGUUGUUGGGUAGGGGAGCGUUCUGUAAGCCGUUGAAGGUGGCCUGUGAGGGUUGCUGGAGGUAUCAGAAGUGCGAAUGCUGACAUAAGUAACGAUAAAGCGGGUGAAAAGCCCGCUCGCCGGAAGACCAAGGGUUCCUGUCCAACGUUAAUCGGGGCAGGGUGAGUCGACCCCUAAGGCGAGGCCGAAAGGCGUAGUCGAUGGGAAACAGGUUAAUAUUCCUGUACUUGGUGUUACUGCGAAGGGGGGACGGAGAAGGCUAUGUCAGCCGGGCGACGGUUGUCCCGGUUUAAGCAUGUAGGCGGAGGUUCCAGGUAAAUCCGGUACCUUUUAACGCUGAGGUGUGAUGACGAGGCACUACGGUGCUGAAGUGAUAAAUGCCCUGCUUCCAGGAAAAGCCUCUAAGCAUCAGGUAACACGAAAUCGUACCCCAAACCGACACAGGUGGUCAGGUAGAGAAUACCAAGGCGCUUGAGAGAACUCGGGUGAAGGAACUAGGCAAAAUGGUGCCGUAACUUCGGGAGAAGGCACGCUGAUAUGUAGGUGAAGUCCCUGCGGACGGAGCUGAAAUCAGUCGAAGAUACCAGCUGGCUGCAACUGUUUAUUAAAAACACAGCACUGUGCAAACACGAAAGUGGACGUAUACGGUGUGACGCCUGCCCGGUGCCGGAAGGUUAAUUGAUGGGGUUAGCGGCAACGCGAAGCUCUUGAUCGAAGCCCCGGUAAACGGCGGCCGUAACUAUAACGGUCCUAAGGUAGCGAAAUUCCUUGUCGGGUAAGUUCCGACCUGCACGAAUGGCGUAAUGAUGGCCAGGCUGUCUCCACCCGAGACUCAGUGAAAUUGAACUCGCUGUGAAGAUGCAGUGUACCCGCGGCAAGACGGAAAGACCCCGUGAACCUUUACUAUAGCUUGACACUGAACACUGGUCCUUGAUGUGUAGGAUAGGUGGGAGGCUUUGAAGCGUGGACGCCAGUCUGCGUGGAGCCGACCUUGAAAUACCACCCUUUAAUGGCUGGUGUUCUAACGUAGACCCGUAAUCCGGGUUGCGGACAGUGUCUGGUGGGUAGUUUGACUGGGGCGGUCUCCUCCCAAAGAGUAACGGAGGAGCACGAAGGUUGGCUAAUCCUGGUCGGACAUCAGGAGGUUAGUGCAAUGGCAUAAGCCAGCUUGACUGCGAGCGUGACGGCGCGAGCAGGUGCGAAAGCAGGUCAUAGUGAUCCGGUGGUUCUGAAUGGAAGGGCCAUCGCUCAACGGAUAAAAGGUACUCCGGGGAUAACAGGCUGAUACCGCCCAAGAGUUCAUAUCGACGGCGGUGUUUGGCACCUCGAUGUCGGCUCAUCACAUCCUGGGGCUGAAGUAGGUCCCAAGGGUAUGGCUGUUCGCCAUUUAAAGUGGUACGCGAGCUGGGUUUAGAACGUCGUGAGACAGUUCGGUCCCUAUCUGCCGUGGGCGCUGGAGAAUUGAGGGGGGCUGCUCCUAGUACGAGAGGACCGGAGUGGACGCAUCACUGGUGUUCGGGUUGUCAUGCCAAUGGCACUGCCCGGUAGCUAAAUGCGGAAGAGAUAAGUGCUGAAAGCAUCUAAGCACGAAACUUGCCCCGAGAUGAGUUCUCCCUGAGACUUUAAGUCUCCUGAAGGAACGUUGAAGACGACGACGUUGAUAGGUCGGGUGUGUAAGCGCAGCGAUGCGUUGAGCUAACCGAUACUAAUGAACCGUGAGGCUUAACCUU